rnacentral:rRNA from 1 species
GACGAACGCUGGCGGCGUGCUUAACACAUGCAAGUCGAACGAUGAAGCCGGAGCUUGCUCUGGUGAAUUAGUGGCGAACGGGUGAGUAACACGUGAGUAACCUGCCCUUGACUCUGGGAUAACUGCGGGAAACUGUGGCUAAUACCGGAUACGACCCUCGGAGGCAUCUCCUGGGGUUGGAAAGAAUUUCGGUCAAGGAUGGACUCGCGGCCUAUCAGCUAGUUGGUGAGGUAAAGGCCCACCAAGGCGACGACGGGUAGCCGGCCUGAGAGGUUGACCGGCCACACUGGAACUGAGACACGGCCCAGACUCCUACGGGAGGCAGCAGUGGGGAAUAUUGCACAAUGGGCGCAAGCCUGGUGCAGCAACGCCGCGUGAGGGAUGACGGCCUACGGGUUGUAAACCUCUUUUAGCAGGGAAGAAGCGAAAGUGACGGUACCUGCAGAAAAAGCACCGGCUAACUACGUGCCAGCCGCCGCCGUAA